rnacentral:misc_RNA from 1 species
UAAGUACAGCAGGUUGAAAAGAUACCAACAAUACCAAAAAUAGGAAAAGGGAAGUGGAUAAGAUGCAAAGGACAGAAAAAGAGCUCGAUAGAGCCAGUUAUAAUGAUGAGGAUAAGGAGGAAUAGGUAUGCUAGGAACAUACUAAGAGAUGUUUAAAACAAGUUAUUAUGAGAUGAUAGAUUAAAGGAGUAGUAGAGCCUCGAUCUGAGUGCUAAUGUGUCAGAAGUAGGCCACAUACUAAGAAGCUAUAGGAAGAAGUCUAGAUAUUUCCAUUCCAGAGAAGGAGUGAGAAUUGAUAAAGUCGCAUGGAUUGAGUUGUCAGGGAAUAUAAACACUUUUGUUACCUAGAAGGAGAGACCCAGUUUACUUUCCAAUAUUGAUAAAUGAUACACUUGGCCCUUGGAGGAGACUCUACCUGACUAGUUACAUAAGAUGGACAGAGGUUGGUCUGAGUACCUUAGUAAUGACACAAAAGAGAUUAAAAAUUUGAAGUAUCAUGAAAGUAAAAAGAUGCAUAGGUGUUAGCUAUUAAGGUCAUAAGACAAGUAAAGAUUUCGAACAAGAUGCCUAGAUUAGGUGCUACAGGAAAGCUACUCAUAGGAUACCAUGGAAUAAGGAACAUAAGUUAUGUCAUUGGGGAAAACAGAGAUUAUUAAAACAAAGGAAUGAUGACUGAAGUCACUAAGAGACACGUUAGGGCGUAAUAAAAGUGAGGUAAGCGCCAAAGUUGAUUAAAAUUAUCAGAGAUCAAGUCGAGAGUAAUAGAGUUAUAAUGAAUACCUGAGGUGUCAGAAGAAUGGUCAGUUAAUAGCCAAGAGAUAAGAGAUGACAAAUAGGAUACUAUAGUAGAAUCAGAGAGCGGUAGAAUGUCAUAUAUAAUAUACGAAGAGUUCGAAGAAUAAAUGUUUUACCAAUAUCUGCAUAGCUGGAGGAGUAAUGAUUGCACUUAUUUCGAUAAUAUUCUUUUCCAUAUCUCUUGUUUAUUCGAAAAUUCGAGGACGAAUUUUUCUUAAGGGGGGAAGAAUGUAACAACC